AUUUCCCAGGCCCUCUGAAAGAAUGAAAGACGUGCUCCCACUCGAGGAACCUGGAGUAAGCCACCUUCAGAAUUGCUUGUUGGGGCGAAAGGAAGAGGUCUGCGUCUUGCCCCUAGAGGAUUUCCCAUUCAGGCCGCUCUUCCAAUUGGAAUUCCUUGAGAAUUCUCUACCUGGCCUGUAAGUCUUACUUUCCCUAAAGUAGCCUUGAUC